ensembl:lncRNA
CAGAGAAAAUGUGUAGUACUAAAAUAGGAAAUAGUGAACUUUUUGAGUAUUUAUUGCCUUUGUUUGUAUUAUCAUUUUAUAAAAUUUUAAGUUAUAUAAUUUACUUUCAGUAAUGGCUGUGUUGUUUUAACAACUAAAUUACCAGUAGUCCUGAGAAAUUAACAUUUGACUCUAGAAACUGAUGCAAGCUGGCUCUACAUAUGACUGGUUGUAGGUUUCCUGUUGUGCAAGCAUUUUAAAGCCACAUAUCUUCAAUUAUCUGUCUCAGCUCUGGCAGUGAGAAUUUGCUUUGGUUGAUAACAGUAAGGUUUUGUUUUGAAUCAGUGCUUGGUGUAUCCCAGGUUAUCAUACUCAUUUGGCUUCUGGAAUUGAAGAUAAAUGCUGAGACCAAUUUAGAAUUUAAAUGUCUUUGUCAAAGAAUGUAUGUAGCACUGUUGAGUUGUUGAGUCACCUGUGUAAUCAGCUAGAAUCCCUUGCCCUUCUGGCUGGUGAGAGAUAAUAUUUGGAGGUGGGUCAGACAGUUAAUUACCUUUUGAGCUUCCAUGUUCCUUCAGUUGAUGAAGUUGCAGGCUUGAGCAGCCAGGCUUCCUCCUAACCAAACUACUGUGUUCUGUUUUGCUUUUGAUUCAGAAAUUUACUUUUAAGAAAAAGUGAAUUGUCUCCAGAGAGAAACAAAAGAAGUCCUGGGCAGCUUAAAGUUCAUCUUGGCUUGAUUAAAACCUUGGAAGUAAAAUAGAGGAAAGAACAGAAAUUGGAUCAGAAACUCUGGUAGGAUGGCCCGGUCCUGCCUUUUCCAUGUCCCGAUUGAGGUGCUUCUCUUGCCUUGGUCCCAGAGUGAAGAGGCCAUGGAGACUGCAAGGAAUUAAACAGGAACUAGGCAGCAUACCGUAAGUCCCCGACUUAGGAACGUUUGAGUUGCAAACUUGCACAAAUACCAACGAACCUUGCAUUAUGAACAUUUGUAGAUGAGAACAAAUCACAAACUAGCUCACCUGUCUGCUGGACAUUAUCAUAGUUGUGCUUCUGUGUGCUUACUGUGCUUAAAAGUAAAUAGUUUAUUUACAAUAUUUUUGUGUAUGUGUUUCAUUGUUUUAAUGUUUCACAUUGUAUACUUGUGUUAAAGGUGUAUAGGACUCACUUUGUCAGACUUACAAAUGAAUCCUACUUCGAAUGUUCUCUGGAACGGAACUUGUAAGUUGAGGACAGUGUAGUUUAGCCUAAACUGAUGUACUCCUUAGGCACCACCCUCUUCCUUUCAGGAUAGACACACACACACACACACACACACACACACACACACACACACAGACAGUAAUACCAAGAGCUUGCUUUUUACCUUGAGAGAUAGUGUUAUACUGCAGAUAUUCCUGCAACAAAGAG